UUUUCUCGUAGUUGCCUUCAAAUCAAGAGUUCAAGAACCUAUGUGACAGAUUUUGCCUGAGGUUUGUUUGCUUGUUCGUGACAAAGCACAGAGACACUCACACUAAGCCUGUUAAGGUCUCAAAUUCCGUACCUAGUCAUGGGAACUCUCUUUUUAUUUCUGUGAUGAGCAAAGGUGUAAUAAGAGGGCAUAGAUGAGUGGGCGAAGAACAGACCUGGUGGCAAUCUUCCUGGGGUCACAAACAAGAACCUGCGUCCUGGAAUCGAUGUAAGCCACGAAGAACGUGAGAACGAUGUCGGCCGCGAAGAAGGCGUCGAUGACGUUGUCGGUGAGGAACAGCCCACCCUUCGGCGCGGCGUGCAUGAACGCGAUCUCGAACGGAUACACCCAUGCAGAGUACGCUACCAGCGCCACCAUGAACGCUUCCCAGCACCUGCAAGACAACAUCUUGGAGCUUUCGUUCGUCAGCGAAAGAGAGAAUUCGUCGCCAUGGAGCUCUGCGCGUAGUUCUAACCUGUAUCUCGAGUCCAUGGGCAAGAAGAUUCUCCAUCGCGAGCCGUUCGGGUUCUGGCUGCAGCUUGACAUGCCGAGAGGAGGAAGAACGAGCUUGGAGAGGCUGCUGAGGCUAAGGGACUCGGAGCUGCUCUCAUCGCCGUGCUUCCUGCAGCCGUUCGUCAUGGAGUUGUGAGCCUUCAUGGCCGUACCGGAGUCUUGGCACGGGCUGCCUGCCAUAUUUUUGUUGUUACGAAAGCAUCAGGAGGAGAGAAGCAGGAUCGAGUCACACAAGCCUGGCACAAAUAAUGGAGGGCGAAGGAUGACGACAAUGUUGUGGUUCUGGCAAAGAUGAACCAUCUGAGUGCACUUUUCGGUGAUGGUGGGAUAAUUCCCGGGCCACUCGUGGCUGGGUGGCCAGCCUCUUUUUGUCUUGCAUUCUUCUCUCAUUCAGAGGGGUGAUAUAUCUGCAUCAUUACAUAAUGUUUUCUGGAUGUAACUCUCACAUUCAAUUUGGCUGACGUACCCAACUCUAUCUCCUCUUGUUUAUUGCCUAAAAUUAUGUACCUGCGUGGAUCAUUGGACAAUCAAAUGGCAAAUCAAUUUUUGAGUUGCUGCA